CCCUUGAGUGGGGGAUAACCUAGGGAAACCUGGGCUAAUACCGCAUUACCCACGGGUCAAAGGAGCAAUUCGCUUAAGGAGGGGGUCGCGGCCGAUUAGUUAGUGCGGGGUAAUGGCCCACCAAGACGAUGAUCGGUAUCCGGCCUGAGAGGGCGCACGGACACUGGAACUGAAACACGGUCCAGACUCCUACGGGAGGCAGCAGUGGGGAAUUUUGCGCUGGGGGAAACCCUGACGCAGCAACGCCGCGUGGAGGAUGAAGUCCCUUGGGACGUAAACCUUUCGAUCGGGACGAUUAUGACGGUACCGGAAGAAGAAGCCCCGGCUAACUUCGUGAGCAGCCGCGGUAAUACGAGGGGGGCGAGCGUUGUUCGGAAUUAUUGGGCGUAAAGGGCGUAGGCGGUUUGACAAGUCUUGUGUGAAAUCUUCGGGCUCAACUCGAAGUCUGCAUGAAACUGUCGGGCUUGAGUGUGGGAGAGGUGAGUGGAAUUCCCGGUGUAGCGGUGAAAUGUAGAUAUCGGGAGGAACACCUGUGGCGAAAGCGGCUCACUGGACCACAACUGACGCUGGCACGAAAGCUAGGGGAGCAAACAGGAUUAGAUACCCUGGCAGUCCUAGCCCUAAACUGAUCGCUUGGUGUGACGGGUACCCAAUCCCGCCGUGCCGAAGCUAACGCGUAAGCGA
rnacentral:rRNA from 1 species